GUGGAUGUAAAUUUUCAUGUGUCACAUUUUUUACCAAUGAAAAAAUUCAAAACUUUAGAAUCAAAUUCAGGAUAAAAUAUUGUUUGAAGCUAUAGGUAUUCAGCGUUCGAUCGAGAAUUCCAAAUCCUGUGACAAACAGCAUAGAUAAUCGAAAGUGAAGCUCUCGCAGUAAUGACCGAACUAAGCAGAACCUAUGGAUGCUGAUUACUGUGAAAAAUCGAUCACCAUCAGUUAGAACAAAGACUCCACCGUUUAACGCUUGUAAUAAAGUGGUGAAAUUCAAUACAACGAGCAGAUCGUUUGAUCCAAGAUAAACUUGAAGAGGUGUUUGCCUAGCUAAAAGCAAGUCUUUCGCAGAAUCCACAUGCACGUGACCACCGUGACCGUUAUCCGCACUUCCGGGCGCCCCGCAUCGCAAUGCUAAAACCUCAGGACGCAGCAAAACUGUACCAGGAUCACACGGCAGCGGUAGCAAUUCCGAGGUCUCUGAACGAAUGGUUUGGUCUGACUGUGGAGGUCGACAAUCACAAUCAACUGGUGGGUGCUCGAAUCGUUUCCGGUGGAAUAAUUGACCGGCAGGGGCUUCCGCAUGCGGAUGAUGUUACAUUGAAGGUGAACGAAGUUCUAUGUCAGAAGAGCUACAGACUAAAAUCCCCCGGGCGAAAGAAUCCGUAACGUUGAAGAUGAGGAGAUGAAAUCCGCCCAUAUCACCAUGGCCGAUGGACCGGUAAAGAAUGAGAAAAAUUUAGAGCCGGGGAAAAACUAACGGACUCGAAACUGUGCCUAUUUCGCUUGAGUUCUGCAAACUAAUGAAUGAUCCAACAGCGUGAACAGAAAUGUCAGUUGUAGUGGUACAUCAUCUAAUGACGAUCCUCAGAAAACAAAGAUUCUCUACUCGCCCCACAUGGCGAUACUGUCUCACUUUCCCGCACUUCUUUUUUCUGAAGCCACAGCAAGUCAACGCAAAACAUU